rnacentral:rRNA from 1 species
AGUGGCGGACUGGUGAGUAACGCGUAAAGGAACUGCUUCUAGAGGGGAAUAACAAUGAGAAAUCAUUGCUAAUACCGCAUAUGCCGAGAGAAUCACAUGGUACAAUCGGGAAAAGAGUAAUCUGCUAGAAGAUGGCCUUGCGUCUGAUUAGAUAGUUGGUGGGGUAACGGCCUACCAAGUCGACGAUCAGUAGCCGGACUGAGAGGUUGAACGGCCACAUUGGGACUGAGAUACGGCCCAGACUCCUACGGGAGGCAGCAGUCGGGAAUAUUGCGCAAUGGAGGAAACUCUGACGCAGUGACGCCGCGUAUAGGAAGAAGGUUUUCGGAUUGUAAACUAUUGUCGUUAGGGAAGAGAAAGGACAGUACCUAAGGAGGAAGCUCCGGCUAACUACGUGCCAGCAGCCGCGGUAAUACGUAGGGAGCGAGCGUUAUCCGGAAUUAUUGGGUGUAAAGGGUGCGUAGACGGGAAGAUAAGUUAGUUGUGAAAUCCCUCGGCUUAACUGAGGAACUGCAACUAAAACUGUUUUUCUUGAGUGCAGGAGAGGUAAGUGGAAUUCCUAGUGUAGCGGUGAAAUGCGUAGAUAUUAGGAGGAACACCAGUGGCGAAGGCGACUUACUGGACUGUAACUGACGUUGAGGCACGAAAGUGUGGGGAGCAAACAGGAUUAGAUACCCUGGUAGUCCACACCGUAAA